rnacentral:rRNA from 1 species
UGGCCUACGGGAGGCAGCAGUGAGGAAUAUUGGUCAAUGGACGAAAGUCUGAGCCAGCCAUGCCGCGUGCAGGAAGACGGCUCUAUGAGUUGUAAACUGCUUUUGUACAAGGGUAAACCUGAAUACGUGUAUUCAGCUGAAAGUACUGUACGAAUAAGGAUCGGCUAACUCCGUGCCAGCAGCCGCGGUAAUACGGAGGAUGCGAGCGUUAUCCGGAUUUAUUGGGUUUAAAGGGUGCGUAGGCGGGCUUUUAAGUCAGCGGUAAAAAUUCGGGGCUCAACCCCGUCCGGCCGUUGAAACUGGGG